rnacentral:rRNA from 1 species
UGAGCAACCUGCCCUUGACUCAGGAAUAACAGUUGGAAACAGCUGCUAAUACCGGAUAUGACCUCUGACGACAUCGUCUGGAGGUGGAGAGCUCCGGCGGUCAAGGAUGGGCUCGCGGCCUAUCAGCUUGUUGGUGAGGUAGCGGCUCACCAAGGCGACGACGGGUAGCUGGUCUGAGAGGAUGGCCAGCCACAGUUGGGACUGAGACCGAGGCCCAACG